rnacentral:rRNA from 1 species
ACAUGCCUACAACAUAGUGUUAAUGCUUCGAAUCCCAUUAAAACUCUGCAGUUAAGUGCGCUUAGACUAGAGUAGUAUUGAUAUGGGUGACCUCUUGGAAAGUCCUAUUCUUUUACAUGCC